UACGUAGGGUGCUAGCGUUGUCCGGAUUUAUUGGGCGUAAAGAGCUCGUAGGCGGCUUUGUAAGUCGGGUGUGAAAACCCAGGCUCAACCUGGGGACGCCACUCGAUACUGCAAUAGCUAGAGUCUGGUAGGGGAUCACGGAAUUCCUGGUGUAGCGGUGAAAUGCGCAGAUAUCAGGAGGAACACCGGUGGCGAAGGCGGUGAUCUGGGCCAGUACUGACGCUGAGGAGCGAAAGCGUGGGGAGCAAACAGG
rnacentral:rRNA from 1 species